rnacentral:rRNA from 1 species
UACGUAGGGUGCGAGCGUUGUCCGGAAUUACUGGGCGUAAAGAGCUCGUAGGCGGUUUGUCGCGUCUGCUGUGAAAACUCGGGGCUUAACUCCGGGCCUGCAGUGGGUACGGGCAGACUAGAGUGCGGUAGGGGAGACUGGAAUUCCUGGUGUAGCGGUGAAAUGCGCAGAUAUCAGGAGGAACACCGGUGGCGAAGGCGGGUCUCUGGGCCGUAACUGACGCUGAGGAGCGAAAGCGUGGGGAGCGAACAGG